rnacentral:rRNA from 1 species
UACGAAGGGAGCUAGCGUUGUUCGGAAUCACUGGGCGUAAAGCGCACGUAGGCGGAUUUGUAAGUCAGGGGUGAAAUCCCGGGGCUCAACCUCGGAACUGCCUUUGAUACUGCAAAUCUCGAGUCCGGAAGAGGUGGGUGGAAUUCCUAGUGUAGAGGUGAAAUUCGUAGAUAUUAGGAAGAACACCGGUGGCGAAGGCGGCCCACUGGUCCGGUACUGACGCUGAGGUGCGAAAGCGUGGGGAGCAAACGGG